AGCAGCCGCGGUAAUUCCAGCUCCAAUAGCGUAUAUUAAAGUUGUUGCAGUUAAAAAGCUCGUAGUUGAACUUCGGGGUUCACCCAUUGGUCAGGCUUAAUUGUCUGUACUGGUGAGAUGAGUCUCUACCUUCUGAGGAACUUUCAUGCCAUUUAUUUGGUGUGAUGGGAAAUCAGGACUGUUACUUUGAAAAAAUUAGAGUGUUUAAAGCAGGCUAACGUCUGAAUACAUUAGCAUGGAAUAAUGAAAUAGGACGGAUUGAUUCUAUUUCGUUGGUUUCUAGGGUCACCGUAAUGAUUAAUAGGGAUAGUUGGGGGCAUUAGUAUUCAAUUGUCAGAGGUGAAAUUCUUGGAUUUAUUGAAGACUAACUACUGCGAAAGCAUUUGCCAAGGAUGUUUUCAUUAAUCAAGAACGAAAGUUAGGGGAUCGAAGACGAUCAGAUACCGUCGUAGUCUUAACCAUAAACUAUGCCGACUAGGGAUCGGACGCAGUUAAUUUUAUAAUGACGUGUUCGGCACCU
rnacentral:misc_RNA from 1 species